GUUAAGAGUUAAGAAUGGCAAAAUGGAGUGCGAUAGUUUUAAUAAUGAUGGUGGUGAUCGCUGUUGCGGUAACAGUAGAAGCGAAUAAAAAAAAAAUGUUUUCACAAAUGUUGUAAACCUUGUAAGCCUCACCACGGUAAUUGUUUUAAACAUUGUAAAGCUAAAUGUGGUGACACAAACCCUCAUCAUGGUCCAGGAGGACAUCAUCAUGGUCGAGGAGGACCCCCUCCUCCCCCUAGACAGAACUUUACAUGAAAUGCACCUGUGGAAGUUCGUGGAAGAAAAAAUAAUUAGAAGAAGUUAUAUAGAAAGUUUGUGAUAAUUUCUAUAGUCUUAAUUUCUUGUUAAAAUCGAAUAAAAAUAU